UACGAGACGUUCCAAGUGUAUCCCUUUCGAUACUUCCUGUGAACAGAUUGAUACAAUGCCAUGAUUGUUCUAAUUUGCAUGAAAGAUGUAAAACUAAGUAGAGUCACGGAAGCAAGGGGGGUAGUUGUAUAUAUUGCUAAACAAUGGUUCUUGUCGUAUUUUGAAAUAUCUAGCGCUUUUUUUUUCUUCGAAAUAAACAAAAGUCUUAGAUUUUAAGGUUGGCUCGCCAAUCCUUAAAAUUAUACUUUUGGGUUCCUAAAAUUUUUCUUAUGAUGGAAAAGUCAGGAAUAAAAUAUACAUUUUGAGCUUCAGACGUCAAUUAUUUGAGCCUCGAAGUUCUUUAAAAGUUGCUUGAAAAUUCAAAAGCUAUUUAUUAUUAACUUGAACUUCUAAAGCUCCAGCUCAGCCUUAUUUUCUUGUAGGAAAACAUUUUUUUAUCCAUCAGUUAGAGCAUGAGGCACAUUGUGGCUACGUACCGUUUCUUUACUAUUUUUAUCAGAUACAUCCUCAUAUUUUUCAAAUUCAAAUUUUAUUCUUAUUUCUAUGCAAAUAAAAUAAAAAAAUUAAAAUUAAAAUCAAUAAAAAUGAAAUAAAAAAAAUUAAAACAAACCCUAACACCUCGUGUGAAUAAACACACAAUUCUGUUUUACGACCAACUACGAUUCGUGUUCACAUAUUCUAUCUUUUCUUCUUAUCUAUUUCUAUUUUGUUCUCAAAGAUUCACAUUCCUCUGACUACUUUUUUUAUUAAGCGCCUACAAAAAAAUCACCGAAAUUCGCGGUCUAAGUAUUAACUAAACAAUACAUUGAAGAUGAGAUGAUAAUUAACAUGCGUGAUUCAUCAAGUAAACGAACGUUUUUGGUGUGUGUUGUUAUUCAAAAACUUGGAUUAUCUUCCAAAAAUUUGUAUGAUCCUUCUAAACAGAGAAGACACACAAACUGGGGAAGCUUAAUGUUAUUAAACUUGCUCUAACAUCUUUUUGGGACAGAAUUAGCACUAAAAUUUUACUUCGUCCACGAAGCCUAAUGCGAUUUUUAGGAUUACCUCAAUUUUGAACUGUUAUCAAUGAUGGUCCUACGAAGGGGGUGCUAGUGCAUUUGAAGCACCUAUUUGUUCAAAACAAUCGCUCAACUAAACCACCACAGAAGAAAUCAAUGCCAUUCUCUUGCUGAUCUUUAGGCAGAAAAGAAAGACACACACUGUUCAAUAAUACCAUUUCUUUGUAAGCCGAUUUGAUAAUUUAUUUUGUUUCUACACAACUGUAACGCUACGUAAUCUUAUUGAAAAAUAAAUUAAUAAUUCGUCAA